ACGCUGGCGGCAUGCCUUACACAUGCAAGUCGAACGGCAGCACGGAGCUUGCUCUGGUGGCGAGUGGCGAACGGGUGAGUAAUAUAUCGGAACGUACCCUAGAGUGGGGGAUAACGUAGCGAAAGUUACGCUAAUACCGCAUACGAUCUAAGGAUGAAAGUGGGGGAUCGCAAGACCUCAUGCUCGUGGAGCGGCCGAUAUCUGAUUAGCUAGUUGGUAGGGUAAAAGCCUACCAAGGCAUCGAUCAGUAGCUGGUCUGAGAGGACGACCAGCCACACUGGAACUGAGACACGGUCCAGACUCCUACGGGAGGCAGCAGUGGGGAAUUUUGGACAACGGGCGAAAGCCUGAUCCAGCAAUGCCGCGUGAGUGAAGAAGGCCUUCGGGUUGUAAAGCUCUUUUGUCAGGGAAGAAACGGUGAGAGCUAAUAUCUCUUGCUAAUGACGGUACCUGAAGAAUAAGCACCGGCUAACUACGUGCCAGCAGCCGCGGUAAUACGUAGGGUGCAAGCGUUAAUCGGAAUUACUGGGCGUAAAGCGUGCGCAGGCGGUUUUGUAAGUCUGAUGUGAAAUCCCCGGGCUCAACCUGGGAAUUGCAUUGGAGACUGCAAGGCUAGAAUCUGGCAGAGGGGGGUAGAAUUCCACGUGUAGCAGUGAAAUGCGUAGAUAUGUGGAGGAACACCGAUGGCGAAGGCAGCCCCCUGGGUCAAGAUUGACACUCAUGCACGAAAGCGUGGGGAGCAAAC
rnacentral:rRNA from 1 species